CAGGCCUAACACAUGCAAGUCGAACGAGAAAGUGGUAGCAAUACCAUGAGUAAAGUGGCGCACGGGUGAGUAACACGUGACUAACCUACCCUUGAGUGGGGGAUAACUGAGGGAAACCUUAGCUAAUACCGCAUAAUACCCACGGGUCAAAGGAGCAAUUCGCUCGAGGAGGGGGUCGCGGCCGAUUAGUUAGUUGGCGGGGUAAUGGCCCACCAAGACGAUGAUCGGUAUCCGGCCUGAGAGGGCGCACGGACACACUGGAACUGAAACACGGUCCAGACUCCUACGGGAGGCAGCAGUGGGGAAUUUUGCGCAAUGGGGGAAACCCUGACGCAGCAACGCCGCGUGGAGGAUGAAGUCCUUCGGGACGUAAACUCCUUUCGAUCGGGACGAUUAUGACGGUACCGGAAGAAGAAGCCCCGGCUAACUUCGUGCCAGCAGCCGCGGUAAUACA
rnacentral:rRNA from 1 species